UACGGGGGGGGCAAGCGUUGUUCGGAAUUACUGGGCGUAAAGGGCUCGUAGGCGGCCAACUAGGUCAUACGUGAAAUCCCUCGGCUUAACCGGGGAACUGCGUCUGAUACUGGAUGGCUUGAGUUCGGGAGAGGGAUGCGGAAUUCCAGGUGUAGCGGUGAAAUGCGUAGAUAUCUGGAGGAACACCGGUGGCGAAGGCGGCAUUCUGGACCGAUAUUGACGCUGAGGAGCGAAAGCCAGGGGAGCAAACGGG
rnacentral:rRNA from 1 species